GGGGAUAACCCGGGGAAACUCGGGCUAAUACCGCAUAUGACCGAGAGGUCAAAGGGGGCCGCAAGGCUCUCGCCAUAGGAGGAGCCCGCGUUCGAUUAGCUAGUUGGUAGGGUAAUGGCCUACCAAGGCGACGAUCGAUAGCCGGCCUGAGAGGGUGAUCGGCCACACCGGAACUGAGACACGGUCCGGACUCCUACGGGAGGCAGCAGUGGGGAAUUUUGCGCAAUGGGCUAACGCCUGACGCAGCAACGCCGCGUGGAGGAUGAAGGUCUUUGGAUUGUAAACUCCUGUCAGCAGGGAAAAAGCGAAUCGGCUUAAUACGCCGGUGAGUUGAUUGUACCUGCAGAGGAAGCCCCGGCUAACUCUGUGCCAGCAGCCGCGGUAAUACAGAGGGGGCAAGCGUUAUUCGGAAUUAUUGGGCGUAAAGGGCGCGUAGGUGGCUUGGCAAGUGGAAGGUGAAAUCCCUCGGCUCAACUGAGGAACUGCCUUCCAGACUGCUUUGCUUGAGGCCGGGAGAGGCGAGUGGAAUUCCCAGUGUAGCGGUGAAAUGCGUAGAUAUUGGGAGGAACACCAGUGGCGAAGGCGACUCGCUGGACCGGUUCUGACGCUGAGGCGCGAAAGCGUGGGGAGCAAACAGGAUUAGAUACCCUGGUAGUCCACGCCGUAAACGAUGAGUGCUGGGUGUCGCGGGUAUCGACCCCUGCGGUGCCGAAGUCAACACAUUAAGCACUCCGCCUGGGGAGUACGGUCGCAAGGCUGAAACGUCAAAGGAAUUGACGGGGGCCCGCACAAGCGGUGGAGCAUGUGGCUUAAUUCGAAGCAACGCGCAGAACCUUACCUGGGUUUGAACU
rnacentral:rRNA from 1 species